UACGUAGGGUGCAAGCGUUGUCCGGAAUUAUUGGGCGUAAAGAGCUCGUAGGCGGUCUGUCGCGUCUGCUGUGAAAACUCAGGGCUUAACCCUGAGCUUGCAGUGGGUACGGGCAGACUAGAGUGCGGUAGGGGAGACUGGAAUUCCUGGUGUAGCGGUGAAAUGCGCAGAUAUCAGGAGGAACACCGGUGGCGAAGGCGGGUCUCUGGGCAGUAACUGACGCUGAGGAGCGAAAAGCGUGGGGAGCGAACAGG
rnacentral:rRNA from 1 species